UUUUACAAGUUAGUGAUUUGGAGAAUCUGAUCGGAUUGUAUGCUCAAUGGCACUUGCGUUUGCUCCCUUACUAUUCGUUUGAUCAGUUCGUACACAAGGUGGAACAAGUAGGUGCCACCAAGCGUGUAUAGUACCAGGUUCCCUACUUUAGCGAGCUAGGAAUGUAAUGUUGGGUUCGAUCCUGGGAGCGGCAUUUUGUUUCCCUCUUGAGUUUGGAGAGUGAGAAGAGGACCCCAUCAUCAUCUAGCAUAGGGCUUUUUGGAUUGACCUAAGGUGGCAACCAUCAAAAACCAUCUUCCUAGCGGAUUAGUGGUUCAUUCUAUAUUAGAUUGAAUGCUUCUUCUU